rnacentral:rRNA from 1 species
UACGUAGGGUGCGAGCGUUUAAUCGGAAUUACUGGGCGUAAAGAGUGCGUAGGCGGUUUGUCGCGUCUGCUGUGAAAACGCGAGGCUCAACCUCGCGCCUGCAGUGGAUACGGGCUGGCUAGAGGCAGGCAGGGGGAGAACGGAAUUCCCGGUGUAGCGGUGAAAUGCGCAGAUAUCGGGAGGAACACCGGUGGCGAAGGCGGUUCUCUGGGCCUGUACUGACGCGAGGAGCGAAAGCGUGGGGAGCGAACAGG